UACGUAGGGGGCAAGCGUUGUCCGGAUUCAUUGGGCGUAAAGAGUUCGUAGGCGGCUUGGCAAGUCGGGUGUGAAACCUCCAGGCUCAACCUGGAGACGCCACCCGAUACUGCCAUGGCUAGAGUCCGGCAGGGGACCACGGAAUUCCUGGUGUAGCGGUGAAAUGCGCAGAUAUCAGGAGGAACACCCGUGGCGAAGGCGGCUCUCUGGGACGGUACUGACGCUGAGACGCGAAAGCGUGGGGAGCGAACAGG
rnacentral:rRNA from 1 species